rnacentral:lncRNA from 1 species
AGAUUCGGGCCCAACGAAUUCCCUGCGGAGAGGGAAAAGUACCGCGUUGCUUCUCGGCCUCAAGGAUCCCCAAACUUCCUGAAGUCUGAUACCCUUGGGAGGCCUCGCCCAGGGCCUGGGAAUCCCCAAGCAGUCCCAGGAGAGAGCGAAAUCCAGAGGCCCGGAGCAGGCAGGCGCUGUGGAUAGUUCGUUUGGACUUCGUGCAUCCGCCGCGGCGCAAGGAAUGAACCCGGGAUAAACUAUGCUCUAGUCCCAGAACUUAGCAGAAUCGAAGAGCAGCAGCGGGGCUUAAGGCUUGCAUCUGCUGGUCCAAUUAUGAGCGCCAGGACAAAGCUAUGAAGACGGAGAAAGUAUCAGGCAUGGGUGCCCAAUUUUGUCUUCUCUCUCUUCAAGAGAAGGUGAGAAUGGCUUUGGAGUCAUUUGGGGGACUUUUAUGUUUGGGCUCUGGGACCUCUGAGUUCCUCAGUUGGACAGCCUAGAGAGGAAAUAUCUAUCGGGGCCCUCCAGUAAGAAAGGACUCGACCUUGUCCAGGAUAUCAAAAGGCACAGGUCGCACACAGAAGACUCUUCCAUAUUUCAAAGUCAGAAAGGGUGUCGAGAGUUCUGGUUCUCCGGAAAGUCCUCAACGGGCCUUGGGUCCUCACUCGCAGGCCGAAGCCACGGACGUGACGCUGGUGAUUUUGGUGGAGUCGUCAGACCACGGCUGCAGGUUCUGCAGGGCGAAGAGCGAGGAGUUGUGCACGCACAGUGGGUCUGCAGGCAGCGGCUGGGCCAGGCUCUUCUGGAAGGCUUCCUGCUGCAGCUGCAGGAGGAUGCGGUUCGCCUGCUGCCUCUCGGCCUCACGUUCCUCUGCUGUCUGUCGCCUGCGUGGGGAACAAGCAAUUACUAGCCAGGACUCUAACCCUCUUCCCGCGCGCCUGCGCAGGCCCGGGAGCAAGCUCCCAGGAGACAGCCCCUUAGGCACCCCUCAGCUCUUUAUGGCCCCAUUAAGGCACUCUCCACUCUUGGGGGUCCUGACAAAAACAUUGGAAACCCCAAAAAUGGAUGGAGCAGAAAUGUCCCAGUCCCAGAGGAGCAAUGAAAAAGCCCAAAACUCCUGGGCCUCCCCCAUUAAGUCACAUAGCCUACACUCUCAAGGGCACACCAUGGAUAAACUGGUCUAUCCCAAGCCCAGAUGCUAUCCCAAGCCUGAAAGGCCCCAAAGACGUGCCUCUUUUUUCUCACCUCCAGCCUGGCCCAGGCCUCAGACCUCUGGUGCCAAACCCAGUGCCCCUAGGCUCUCUCCGGACUCACCAGCUUCCUCCCAGGCGGUCUAGAGAGGCUGUGACUCACUUAUUCCAUUUAAUGCCGCCCCUCCACCCUGUCAACUGAGAUCAAACGUCUGUCUCUAAGGUGGACAGACCUAAUGGGAGUCCCCGGGGCCUCCAGAAGCAAUUUGUAGGCGAUCGAUGAAACCGCUUGAAGCUCACGGCUCUUCCCGGGGCGAGGUGGACGCCCGCCUGUUCUCACAGCGCCUUUCUGACUUUUCCUUGUCUUUCUCUCUCUCUCUCAUCUUCCCUGUCUCCCUGAAUUUUAAACUACCCAAAUGUUUUCCUCCAUGCUCUGUUUUACCCCAUGUUUUUUUUCUUCACCCCUUCUUUUCCUCUGAAUUAGGGG